rnacentral:tRNA from 3 species
GCCGCUGUAGCUCAGCUGGUAGAGCGCCCGCCUUGUAAGCGGAUGGUCAGGGGUUCGAGUCCCCUCAGCGGCUCCG